UACGGGGGGGGCAAGCGUUGUUCGGAAUUACUGGGCGUAAAGGGCUCGUAGGCGGCCAACUAAGUCCGACGUGAAAUCCCAAGGCUUAACCUUGGAACUGCGUCGGAUACUGGAUGGCUUGAAUUCGGGAGAGGGAUGCAGAAUUCCAGGUGUAGCGGUGAAAUGCGCAGAUAUCAGGAGGAACACCGGUGGCGAAGGCGGAUCUCUGGGCAGUAACUGACGCUGAGGAGCGAAAGCGUGGGGAGCGAACAGG
rnacentral:rRNA from 1 species